rnacentral:rRNA from 2 species
UGGAAAACUCGGGAUCCCGUCCGCUCUCCCAUAGAUAAGCCACUAAUCGCCUGACUAGUAGUUGGGUCGGUGACGACCAGCGAAUCCCAGGUGCUGUAU